GACGAACGCUGGCGGCGUGCUUAACACAUGCAAGUCGAACGGAAAGGCCCUGCUUUUGUGGGGUGCUCGAGUGGCGAACGCGUGAGUAACACGUGUGUAACCUGCCCUUGACUUUGGGAUAACUUCAGGAAACUGGGGCUAAUACCGGAUAGGAUCUCCUGCUGCACGGUGGGGGUUAGAAAGAUUCGGCGGUUGGGGAUGGACUCGCGGCUUAUCGGCUGGUUGGUGAGGUAGUGGCUGUCCAAGGCUUUGACGGGUAGCCGGCCUGAGAGGGUGGCCGGCCACAUUGGGCCUGCGAGACGGCCCAGUCUCCUACGUGAGGCAGCAGUGGGGAAUAUUGCACAAUGGGCGGAAGCCUGAUGCAGAAACGCCGCGUGCGUGAUGCCGGCCUUCGAGUUGUAAACCGCUUUCGCAUGUGCCGAAGCGUGAGUGACGGUAAUGGGUAAAGAAGCACCGGCUAACUACGUG
rnacentral:rRNA from 1 species